rnacentral:pre_miRNA from 2 species
UCCUAGGGAUGAACAAAGAAAGUAGUUUCUUGAGAUGGAAUCUACUUUUGGUGAAGAUUUUGUGAG